rnacentral:ncRNA from 2 species
AUCGUGAUGGGGAUAGAUCAUUGC